UGGGGAAUAUUGCACAAUGGAGGGAACUCUGAUGCAGCGACGCCGCGUGAACGAAGAAGGCUUUCGAGUCGUAAAGUUCUUUUAUAUGGGAAGAUAAUGACGGUACCAUAAGAAAAAGCCCCGGCUAACUACGUGCCAGCAGCCGCGGUAAUACGUAGGGGGCUAGCGUUGUCCGGAAUCACUGGGCGUAAAGGGUUCGCAGGCGGAAAUGCAAGUCAGGUGUAAAAGGCAGUAGCUUAACUACUGUAAGCAUUUGAAACUGCAUAUCUUGAGAAGAGUAGAGGUAAGUGGAAUUUUUAGUGUAGCGGUGAAAUGCGUAGAUAUUAAAAAGAAUACCGGUGGCGAAGGCAACUUACUGGGCUCAUUCUGACGCUGAGGAACGAAAGCGUGGGUAGCAAACAGG
rnacentral:rRNA from 1 species